AGAAUUCGCCCUUAGAGUUUGAUCCUGGCUCAGGAUGAACGCUGGCGGUAUGCUUUACACAUGCAAGUCGUACGAGAGUUUUUAACUCAAGUGGCGGACGGGUGAGUAACACGUAAGAAUUUGCCUUUAGGAGGGGGAUAACAACUGGAAACGGUUGCUAAUACCCCAUAUGCUUUCGAGUAAAAUGGAUUUUCCGCCUAAAGAGAAGCUUGCGGCUGAUUAGCUUGUUGGUGAGGUAAUGGCUCACCAAGGCGACGAUCAGUAUCUGGUUUGAGAGGACGAUCAGACACACUGGAACUGAGACACGGUCCAGACUCCUACGGGAGGCAGCAGUGGGGAAUUUUCCGCAAUGGGCGAAAGCCUGACGGAGCAAUACCGCGUGAGGGAUGACGGCCUAUGGGUUGUAAACCUCUUUUUUCAGGGAGGAAUCAAUGACGUGUACCUGAAGAAUAAGCAUCGGCUAACUCCGUGCCAGCAGCCGCGGUAAGACGGAGGAUGCAAGUGUUAUCCGGAAUCACUGGGCGUAAAGCGUCUGUAGGUGGUCAAAUAAGUCAACUGUUAAAUCUUGAGGCUCAACCUCAAAAUCGCAGUCGAAACUAUUCGACUAGAGUAUAGUAGGGGUAAAGGGAAUUUCCAGUGGAGCAGUGAAAUGCGUAGAGAUUGGAAAGAACACCGAUGGCGAAGGCACUUUACUGGGCUAUUACUAACACUGAGAGACGAAAGCUAGGGUAGCAAAUGGGAUUAGAUACCCCAGUAGUCCUAGCCGUAAACAAUGGAUACUAGAUGUUGAACAGAUCGACCUGUGCAGUAUCAAAGCUAACGCGUUAAGUAUCCCGCCUGGGAAGUAUGCUCGCAAGAGUGAAACUCAAAUGAAUUGACGGGGAAGGGC
rnacentral:rRNA from 1 species